AAUCGCUUUAUGGCUUUUUUCCAAUUUUCACUUUUCUAGACCAUCAUUUGCUUAUAUGCUGGAUUCUUCUGGUGGGGGAGAGGUUGUGUUCUUAAGGAGCAUUUUGUUUUGUGAUAUUCGGGGUUGGGAGAGGUUUAUUUAACUCUGAGUAUAAUAAAA